rnacentral:rRNA from 1 species
UACGUAGGUGGCAAGCGUUGUCCGGAUUUACUGGGUGUAAAGGGCGUGCAGCCGGGCUGACAAGUCAGAUGUGAAAUCCCGCGGCUCAACCGCGGAACUGCAUUUGAAACUGUCAGUCUUGAGUACCGGAGAGGUCAUCGGAAUUCCUUGUGUAGCGGUGAAAUGCGUAGAUAUAAGGAAGAACACCAGUGGCGAAGGCGGAUGACUGGACGGCAACUGACGGUGAGGCGCGAAGGCGUGGGGAGCGAACAGG